GCCUUCUUGAUGCAGUUGUCAGCGCAUCUGUCUCAUAAUCUGAAGGUUGUAAGUUCAAGUCUCAGAGAGGGCA
rnacentral:tRNA from 1 species